AGAGUUUGAUCCUGGCUCAGGAUGAACGCUGGCGGCGUGCUUAACACAUGCAAGUCGAACGAUAAACCCGCCCUCGGGCGGUUAUAGAGUGGCGACCGGGUGAGUAACACGUGACCAACCUGCCCCCCUCACCGGGAUAACCCAGGGAAACCUGCGCUAAUACCGGAUACUCCGGGACCCCCGCAUGGGGCUCCCGGGAAAGCCCAGGCGGAAGGGGAUGGGGUCGCGGCCCAUUAGGUAGACGGCGGGGUAACGGCCCACCGUGCCCGCGAUGGGUAGCCGGGUUGAGAGACCGAUCGGCCACAUUGGGACUGAGAUACGGCCCAGACUCCUACGGGAGGCAGCAGUGGGGAAUUUUGCGCAAUGGGGGAAACCCUGACGCAGCAACGCCGCGUGCGGGACGACGGCCUUCGGGUUGUAAACCGCUUUCAGCAGGGAAUAAUUUUGAAGGUACCUGCAGAAGAAGCUCCGGCUAACUACGUGCCAGCAGCCGCGGUAAUACGUAGGGAGCGAGCGUUAUCCGGAAUCAUUGGGCGUAAAGCGCGCGUAGGCGGCCCGUCAAGCGGGGUUUCAAAUCCAGGGGCUCAACCUCUGGCCGGACCCCGAACUGGCGGGCUCGAGUGCGGUAGAGGAAGGUGGAAUUCCCAGUGUAGCGGUGAAAUGCGCAGAUAUUGGGAAGAACACCGAUGGCGAAGGCAGCCUUCUGGGCCGCCACUGACGCUGAGGCGCGAAAGCUAGGGGAGCGAACAGGAUUAGAUACCCUGGUAGUCCUAGCCGUAAACGAUGGGCACUAGGUGUGGGGGGACAUUCCCUCCGUGCCGCAGCAAACGCAUUAAGUGCCCCGCCUGGGGAGUACGGCCGCAAGGCUAAAACUCAAAGGAAUUGACGGGGGCCCGCACAAGCAGCGGAGCAUGUGGCUUAAUUCGAAGCAACGCGAAGAACCUUACCAGGUCUUGACAUCGAGUGCAUAACUAAGAGAUUAGUGAAAUCCCUUCGGGGACACUUAGACAGGUGGUGCAUGGUUGUCGUCAGCUCGUGUCGUGAGAUGUUGGGUUAGGUCCCGCAACGAGCGCAACCCUUACCUUUAGUUGCUACGCAAGAGCACUCUAAAGGGACUGCCGUUGACAAAACGGAGGAAGGUGGGGAUGACGUCAAAUCAUCAUGCCCCUUAUGACCUGGGCUACACACGUACUACAAUGGCAAUCAACAAAGAGAAGCAAGACAGUUAUGUGGAGCAAAUCUCAAAAAAUUGUCCCAGUUCAGAUUGUAGGCUGCAACUCGCCUACAUGAAGUCGGAAUUGCUAGUAAUCGCGGAUCAGAAUGCCGCGGUGAAUACGUUCCCGGGCCUUGUACACACCGCCCGUCACACCAUGGGAGUCGGUAACACCCGAAGUCGGUAGUCUAACAGCAAUGAGGACGCCGCCGAAGGUGGGAUUGAUGACUGGGGUGAAGUCGUAAACAAGGUA
rnacentral:rRNA from 1 species